rnacentral:lncRNA from 1 species
AUGUGUGGGACUCUUGCAUUCCGAAUCGAAUCUGUGCAAAGAUGGUCCUCAGAUCUGCCGUCUUCCCUUAGGGGUCUUCCAAGAGAAACACCCGCCAACUCAAUCCCUCCCUGACCAAGAGACACUGGAGCCUUCAGAUACAUCAGGAGGAGAAGCUGAAUUGAGCACAGUUUCACAAAUAUCUGUGACUUGUAGAUUCCAUGCUGCAGAAAACCAUCAGCAGAAACAGGAGGCUGACCUUGCUGGCCAGAACAAAGAAUGUAAUUGGCAGGACACAGAUGUGGCCUUGAGAGCUGUUGAGUAACUGAAGACAGGACUGAAGACAGGACAGGGAGUCUCAUUCCUGUCAAGUGAAUGACGCAGUGCUCUUUGCAAGUAUUGACGAACAAUCUGAUCUCUCUCCUUUACCCUUGAAAAUGCCAUUAAGGGAUUCGGCUUUCCUCUGAGGAGUCCAUAUACAUCCCUAUUAAUCUUCAGGGCAACGUCAACAUGAAAAUGAUCCGAGCCUGGCCGAUGACUGCAUAGGUCUGCUUGCAAGAGAUUCACAGAGGUCCACACAAGUCAUCCCACUUAAGGGAUCUUCCUUCUGUCUUCACCCACACCUCCUCUGCACACAGCUCUCCGCCUCCCUGGGGUUCAUUGUAGCCAUCUUUCUGAGACAAGGGUCAGUUCAGAGGGCAGUUGUUGCCUCCUCUCUCUCCAGGAAACAAGCUCUCCUCAUAAGGAUUCUUUUUCCCAGCAAGCAAAGAUGACCUGGAAAUUUGACAGUACCAGAGUUACAGACUACUCUUUCUCAAGAGAGAAAUAUUACCUUAUAGAAACCAGCUUUUAUCCUGCUGUGAAACUGUACUGUGUUCUGCGGAUUGUCUCUGAUUAGAGCCAGGUGAACUGGGGGAAGCUCGGAGGGCUGUCUUCUGCACACCUCAAAGGCAGCUGGAAUCGUAUGUGACCCUGAAAAGAAGCUGCAGCAAGACUUAGGGGGAGGUGGGGGAAAGACAACGACGUUGAUACAAGCCAGCACAUUCCGUGCUCAGAGUGUACGAGAAUGUUCUUAAACACACCAGGAGAAAAAUCCCGAAGGUUUCAAAACUCCUGGUGAUAGUGAAGUUCUUGGCUAACUUCCUAGAGCAUUAUCGGGCAUUAUAAAUGUCCUUUGAAUUCACGCAGCUCCUAAGAACAAAGGAAUUGUUUUGAGGAUUUUAGUGUUUACUCUUUAGGAGGUCUGAAGGCUCUAUUUGUAAUUUCUUAAUAAAAUCAAAUCUUCGUCACAUUAAAGAAGGGUAGAAAAACGGUAAAGUAUUUUUAAAACAAAAAUAGGCAUUUAAUCAGUUAGUCAGAUAAUAUUCAUUGAGCACUCGGGUGCAUCAAGCAAUGCUGUAGGGAUAGGACCACUGUGGUGACCCAGAUGAACUUUGACCCUGCCUACUUGAUAUACCCCAGUGGGCAGAGUAGGCUUAUAGUAAACCACAUCUGAGGAAAACUCAAGUGACCACAGUGUCCCUCUUCAGAGAUCAUUAAGAACAUUGUGCAGGAUUUAGACACACGCUGUAAAGACAAGAAGACCUUGAAAAUGCUCAAGGCACAGCUCAGGGACUUACCUGCCAAAAGCCCAGAGUUCCAUCUCCUACAAUAGGGAAAUUUGAUAUUUGGAUUGAUACCUAAUGGAUAAAGGUAUUUUAAAUA